CCUUCGGGGUUAGUGGCGGACGGGUGAGUAACACGUGGGAACGUGCCCUUUGGUUCGGAACAACUCAGGGAAACUUGAGCUAAUACCGGAUGAGCCCUUCGGGGGAAAGAUUUAUCGCCAUUGGAGCGGCCCGCGUCUGAUUAGCUAGUUGGUGGGGUAAAGGCCCACCAAGGCGACGAUCAGUAGCUGGUCUGAGAGGAUGAUCAGCCACACUGGGACUGAGACACGGCCCAGACUCCUACGGGAGGCAGCAGUUAGGAAUCUUGCGCAAUGGGCGAAAGCCUGACGCAGCCAUGCCGCGUGAAUGAUGAAGGUCUUAGGAUUGUAAAAUUCUUUCAGCGGGGACGAUAAUGACGGUACCCGCAGAAGAAGCUCCGGCUAACUUCGUGCCAGCAGCCGCGGUAAUACGAAGGGGGCUAGCGUUGCUCGGAAUUACUGGGCGUAAAGGGCGCGUAGGCGGAUGUUUAAGUCAGAGGUGAAAGCCCAGGGCUCAACCUUGGAACUGCCUUUGAUACUGGACAUCUUGAGUAUGGGAGAGGUGAGUGGAACUCCGAGUGUAGAGGUGAAAUUCGUAGAUAUUCGGAAGAACACCAGUGGCGAAGGCGACUCACUGGCCCAU
rnacentral:rRNA from 1 species